UACGGAAGGCAGCAGUGGGGAAUAUUGCACAAUGGGCGAAAGCCUGAUGCAGCUAUGCCGCGUGUAUGAAGAAGGCCUUAGGGUUGUAAAGUACUUUCAUCGGGGAGGAAAAACAAAACUAAUAAUUUUAUUUCUUGACGUUACCCGAAAAAGAAGCACCGGCUAACUCCGUGCCAGCAGCCGCGGUAAUACGGAGGGUGCUAGCGUUAAUCAGAAUUACUGGGCGUAAAGAGCACGUAGGUGGUUUUUUUAAAGUCAGAUGUGAAAUCCCUGGGCUUAACCUAGGAACUGCAUUUUGAAACUGAAAUACUAGAGUAUCGUAGAGGGAGGUAGAAUUCUAGGUGUAGCGGUGAAAUGCGUAGAUAUCUGGAGGAAUACCUGUGGCGAAAGCGGCCUCCUAAACGAAUACUGACACUGAGGUGCGAAAGCGUGGGAGCAAACAGGGAUUAGAUACC
rnacentral:rRNA from 1 species